AUAUGAGACGUCCAGCAUUCAAACCAACAUGAAAACAACAUCCUGGUCCUCUUGACCCUUGACAGUUCACUGAAGCCAAACAGACUCAACGCUGAGAUCACUGCCAUGAUGCUGAAGGUUCUGCUUGUUCUUGGAUGCUUCCUUUGCCUCACUAUGGCUAAACCUCUGGAACACGAGCGAUUUGCCCGAUCCAACUCCGGGGAGAGGUGGAACAGGAAUAUGCAGUGGGGCUGGAACCCUCAGUUCAUGGGGGAUUCACAGAUGUUGCAGUACUUUCUACUUUUACAACAACUACUAACUACAGCUGCUCCAGCAGGAAAAUAAAAUCUGAAAUUGAGCAAGAAUAAAUGAAAAAAUAAAAGCACUCUGUGUUUGUUUCAGCUCUGUUAUUCAUGUGUAAACUGUUCUGUUUCCUGUCUCCUAAAUUCAUAUAAUAUUGUUCUACUUGAUUGUGUUUACUCUAACUUUAACAUUUCUAAAAACACGCAUGAAGAUUCCCUCUUGCAUGUAGAUUUAGAUGAAUAAAAUUAAAAAGUGAA